rnacentral:lncRNA from 1 species
ACCAUUUAUUUUCUACAAUAAAUAUAUUUUAUGCUAUACAAUGUUCUACUUGCUUCUGUUUUGAAGAUUACAUUCAACCGAGUUUACACAGGAGCUUUUUAUUCAAUGUUGAAUGAAUAUCCUAGGAAGGAGUUGAGAGCUCUUGAAAAGGUUGGUAAGUGAUUUGCUUUUUCUUAGCAAAUAUAGCAAUAGGUAUAACUGGUUUAAACUUAGAUCCUUUUAUACAUGUAUAUAAUUUUGUUUUAAAUUAAAAAUCUAUAAAGAAUUUUUGGCCAUUGGUCAUUCUCUGAGUUUCUUAUGCUCCUGAGGAUCCCGGAAUAUAAAUAUUUCUCCCAGACUUUCUCUUAUCUUACUGAGCAUCCUACAGCUUAAAAGAAUUGAAGUACUUGUGUAUUCUUAUUCCCAAGAUUUAUAUAGAGUCUUUUGAGUUUAACCAAGGCAUUGUCACACUGUCAUGGGAAAAGUGAGACUGGGGAAAUCAGUGAAGGCCACUUUGUCGGUUAGAGACAGAACUAAUACUGCAGACUGUCUACCUUACAGGUUAUUGUAGAGCUGAAAUGCAUUACUUCAGAAAAGAUGAUAAUAUAUAGUAUAUUUAUACUAUAUUUAUAACAGAGUUCAAAAAGUCCAUUGAAUACAUUUAGGACUUCAAUGGAUUUCUGAUGCAAUAUGGGGCAGAGUUCUGUUGUAAAACACUAAACAAAAACAAGCAAGGGGGCCGGGCGUGGUGGCUCAUGCCUGUAAUCCCAGCACUUUGGGAGGCCAACUUAGAGAGUUUAAACGGUUUCUCAAGGUCUCCUAUAUUCAGGUGCAGAGUUGGAAUUGAAGAUUCUUGACUUUAAAGCUCUUACACUUUCCCCCAUGCCAUACUGCCAACUUCAAGAGUCA